AGAGUUUGAUCAUGGCUCAGAUUGAACGCUGGCGGAAUGCUUUACACAUGCAAGUCGAACGGCAGCACGGGGGCAACCCUGGUGGCGAGUGGCGAACGGGUGAGUAAUACAUCGGAACGUGCCCAGUCGUGGGGGAUAACGUAGCGAAAGCUACGCUAAUACCGCAUACGAUCUCUGGAUGAAAGCGGGGGACCGCAAGGCCUCGCGCGAUUGGAGCGGCCGAUGGCAGAUUAGGUAGUUGGUGGGGUAAAGGCUCACCAAGGCGACGAUCCGUAGCGGGUCUGAGAGGAUGAUCCGCCACACUGGGACUGAGACACGGCCCAGACUCCUACGGGAGGCAGCAGUGGGGAAUUUUGGACAAUGGGCGCAAGCCUGAUCCAGCCAUGCCGCGUGAGUGAAGAAGGCCUUCGGGUUGUAAAGCUCUUUCGGUGGGGAAGAAAUUGCUUCGGUUAAUACCUGGAGUAGAUGACGGUACCCGCAUAAGAAGCACCGGCUAACUACGUG
rnacentral:rRNA from 1 species